UGCUGCGAAAGAGCCCUCCCAGGCAG
rnacentral:piRNA from 1 species